rnacentral:rRNA from 1 species
UACGUAGGGUGCAAGCGUUGUCCGGAAUUAUUGGGCGUAAAGAGCUCGUAGGCGGUUUGUUGCGUCGGCUGUGAAAUCCCGAGGCUCAACCUCGGGUCUGCAGUCGAUACGAGCAAACUAGAGUGUUGCAGGGGAGAAUGGAAUUCCUGGUGUAGCGGUGAAAUGCGCAGAUAUCAGGAAGAACACCCGUGGCGAAGGCGGUUCUCUGGGACGGUACUGACGCUGAGACGCGAAAGCGUGGGGAGCGAACAGG